rnacentral:rRNA from 1 species
GAUGAACGCUGGCGGCGUGCCUAAUACAUGCAAGUCGAGCGAACAGACGAGGAGCUUGCUCCUCUGACGUUAGCGGCGGACGGGUGAGUAACACGUGGAUAACCUACCUAUAAGACUGGGAUAACUUCGGGAAACCGGAGCUAAUACCGGAUAAUAUAUUGAACCGCAUGGUUCAAUAGUGAAAGACGGUUUUGCUGUCACUUAUAGAUGGAUCCGCGCCGCAUUAGCUAGUUGGUAAGGUAACGGCUUACCAAGGCGACGAUGCGUAGCCGACCUGAGAGGGUGAUCGGCCACCCUGGAACUGAGACACGGUCCAGACUCCUAAGGGAGGCAGCAGUAGGGAAUCUUCCGCAAUGGGCGAAAGCCUGACGGAGCAACGCCGCGUGAGUGAUGAAGGUCUUCGGAUCGUAAAACUCUGUUAUUAGGGAAGAACAAAUGUGUAAGUAACUAUGCACGUCUUGACGGUACCUAAUCAGAAAGCCACGGCUAACUACGUG